UUAAGCGACUAAGCGUACACGGUGGAUGCCCUGGCAGUCAGAGGCGAUGAAGGACGUGCUAAUCUGCGAUAAGCGUCGGUAAGGUGAUAUGAACCGUUAUAACCGGCGAUUUCCGAAUGGGGAAACCCAGUGUGUUUCGACACACUAUCAUUAACUGAAUCCAUAGGUUAAUGAGGCGAACCGGGGGAACUGAAACAUCUAAGUACCCCGAGGAAAAGAAAUCAACCGAGAUUCCCCCAGUAGCGGCGAGCGAACGGGGAGCAGCCCAGAGCCUGAAUCAGUGUGUGUGUUAGUGGAAGCGUCUGGAAAGGCGCGCGAUACAGGGUGACAGCCCCGUACACAAAAAUGCACAUGCUGUGAGCUCGAUGAGUAGGGCGGGACACGUGGUAUCCUGUCUGAAUAUGGGGGGACCAUCCUCCAAGGCUAAAUACUCCUGACUGACCGAUAGUGAACCAGUACCGUGAGGGAAAGGCGAAAAGAACCCCGGCGAGGGGAGUGAAAAAGAACCUGAAACCGUGUACGUACAAGCAGUGGGAGCACAGAGCAAUCUGUGUGACUGCGUACCUUUUGUAUAAUGGGUCAGCGACUUAUAUUCUGUAGCAAGGUUAACCGAAUAGGGGAGCCGAAGGGAAACCGAGUCUUAACUGGGCGUUAAGUUGCAGGGUAUAGACCCGAAACCCGGUGAUCUAGCCAUGGGCAGGUUGAAGGUUGGGUAACACUAACUGGAGGACCGAACCGACUAAUGUUGAAAAAUUAGCGGAUGACUUGUGGCUGGGGGUGAAAGGCCAAUCAAACCGGGAGAUAGCUGGUUCUCCCCGAAAGCUAUUUAGGUAGCGCCUCGUGAAUUCAUCUCCGGGGGUAGAGCACUGUUUCGGCAAGGGGGUCAUCCCGACUUACCAACCCGAUGCAAACUGCGAAUACCGGAGAAUGUUAUCACGGGAGACACACGGCGGGUGCUAACGUCCGUCGUGAAGAGGGAAACAACCCAGACCGCCAGCUAAGGUCCCAAAGUCAUGGUUAAGUGGGAAACGAUGUGGGAAGGCCCAGACAGCCAGGAUGUUGGCUUAGAAGCAGCCAUCAUUUAAAGAAAGCGUAAUAGCUCACUGGUCGAGUCGGCCUGCGCGGAAGAUGUAACGGGGCUAAACCAUGCACCGAAGCUGCGGCAGCGACGCUUAUGCGUUGUUGGGUAGGGGAGCGUUCUGUAAGCCUGCGAAGGUGUGCUGUGAGGCAUGCUGGAGGUAUCAGAAGUGCGAAUGCUGACAUAAGUAACGAUAAAGCGGGUGAAAAGCCCGCUCGCCGGAAGACCAAGGGUUCCUGUCCAACGUUAAUCGGGGCAGGGUGAGUCGACCCCUAAGGCGAGGCCGAAAGGCGUAGUCGAUGGGAAACAGGUUAAUAUUCCUGUACUUGGUGUUACUGCGAAGGGGGGACGGAGAAGGCUAUGUUGGCCGGGCGACGGUUGUCCCGGUUUAAGCGUGUAGGCUGGUUUUCCAGGCAAAUCCGGAAAAUCAAGGCUGAGGCGUGAUGACGAGGCACUACGGUGCUGAAGCAACAAAUGCCCUGCUUCCAGGAAAAGCCUCUAAGCAUCAGGUAACAUCAAAUCGUACCCCAAACCGACACAGGUGGUCAGGUAGAGAAUACCAAGGCGCUUGAGAGAACUCGGGUGAAGGAACUAGGCAAAAUGGUGCCGUAACUUCGGGAGAAGGCACGCUGAUAUGUAGGUGAAGUCCCUCGCGGAUGGAGCUGAAAUCAGUCGAAGAUACCAGCUGGCUGCAACUGUUUAUUAAAAACACAGCACUGUGCAAACACGAAAGUGGACGUAUACGGUGUGACGCCUGCCCGGUGCCGGAAGGUUAAUUGAUGGGGUUAGCGGUAACGCGAAGCUCUUGAUCGAAGCCCCGGUAAACGGCGGCCGUAACUAUAACGGUCCUAAGGUAGCGAAAUUCCUUGUCGGGUAAGUUCCGACCUGCACGAAUGGCGUAAUGAUGGCCAGGCUGUCUCCACCCGAGACUCAGUGAAAUUGAACUCGCUGUGAAGAUGCAGUGUACCCGCGGCAAGACGGAAAGACCCCGUGAACCUUUACUAUAGCUUGACACUGAACAUUGAGCCUUGAUGUGUAGGAUAGGUGGGAGGCUUUGAAGUGUGGACGCCAGUCUGCAUGGAGCCGGCCUUGAAAUACCACCCUUUAAUGUUUGAUGUUCUAACGUUGGCCCCUGAUCGGGGUUGCGGACAGUGUCUGGUGGGUAGUUUGACUGGGGCGGUCUCCUCCUAAAGAGUAACGGAGGAGCACGAAGGUUGGCUAAUCCUGGUCGGACAUCAGGAGGUUAGUGCAAUGGCAUAAGCCAGCUUGACUGCGAGCGUGACGGCGCGAGCAGGUGCGAAAGCAGGUCAUAGUGAUCCGGUGGUUCUGAAUGGAAGGGCCAUCGCUCAACGGAUAAAAGGUACUCCGGGGAUAACAGGCUGAUACCGCCCAAGAGUUCAUAUCGACGGCGGUGUUUGGCACCUCGAUGUCGGCUCAUCACAUCCUGGGGCUGAAGUAGGUCCCAAGGGUAUGGCUGUUCGCCAUUUAAAGUGGUACGCGAGCUGGGUUUAGAACGUCGUGAGACAGUUCGGUCCCUAUCUGCCGUGGGCGCUGGAGAACUGAGGGGGGCUGCUCCUAGUACGAGAGGACCGGAGUGGACGCAUCACUGGUGUUCGGGUUGUCAUGCCAAUGGCACUGCCCGGUAGCUAAAUGCGGAAGAGAUAAGUGCUGAAAGCAUCUAAGCACGAAACUUGCCCCGAGAUGAGUUCUCCCUGACUCCUUGAGAGUCCUGAAGGAACGUUGAAGACGACGACGUUGAUAGGCCGGGUGUGUAAGCGCAGCGAUGCGUUGAGCUAACCGGUACUAAUGAACCGUGAGGCUUAACCUU
rnacentral:rRNA from 1 species